CUCUGUUCUGAGUUCUCACAGUCCCACCUACCUCACAAGAUGUCUGUUGUGGGGAGAAGAACAGGAGNUUUGUCAGCCGUUUUGAGUCCCCUCAAGAUGAAAAAAGCAGGGUACAAAAACCAACUCUUCUCCUUCUCAUCCCCUGCAUGUCAGCAACUCUUUCUGCAGCCACCACCACACUAGAGCUCAAAGUGGCCGCAGCAGAUUUGUGGACCUGUCUGGCACCUGGUCAAGAUUCUUCCAGCUUUUCAAGCAUGUAAACAGCUGGAGCAACAGUGGGGCAGGACUAUCAUUUACCCUUGCUGGGCCAACUCUGGACAGCUCUUUAAUCUGGGUUACAGGAGGCAAGCACUCAAUUUCUGGAAACUGCAGAGAGGAUGAUUACAAUCUCACUGUGCCACAAAUUAUGGACUCUUGAGGUCACUUCCACUGCUUGCCACCAAGGAACGUGGACCUGAUGCAGGCUUCUGCUGCCAGUACAAGUGUAACCCCAUAGAGUUUUUAGACAACAAAUGGAACCUAAUUCAUACCUGUCUCAUGUGAAGGAAGAGUUUAGCAACACACUGAAUACAGCAGAAUGACUCACCUUAAUUUGCCUACAGUAAUGUAGUGUUUAUUCAUUCCCAUCUCCUUGGGGAACUGUGCUUUUCAGGAUUCUACAGCUAUCAGCUUCAUUGUGC
rnacentral:lncRNA from 1 species